GCAAGUCGAACGAGGUAGCAAUACCUAGUGGCAGACGGGUGAGUAACACGUAGUCAACCUACCUCUUAGUGGGGGAUAACUAGCCGAAAGGUUAGCUAAUACCGCAUGAGAUCGUCGAGCGGCAUCGCUUGACGAUGAAAGCAGUAAUGCGCUGAGAGACGGGACUGCGUCCCAUUAGUUAGUUGGUGGGGUAACGGCCUACCAAGACUCCGAUGGGUAGCUGGCUUGAGAGAGCGACCAGCCACACCGGAACUGAGAUACGGUCCAGACUCCUACGGGAGGCAGCAGUGAGGAAUUUUCCGCAAUGGGGGAAACCCUGACGGAGCGACGCCGCGUGUGGGAAGAAGGCCUUCGGGUCGUAAACCACUGUCGAAGGGGACGAUAUUGACGGUACCCUUGGAGGAAGCCCCGGCUAACUAUGUGCCAGCAGCCGCGGUAAGACGUAGGGGGCAAGCGUUGUCCGGAAUCAUUGGGCGUAAAGCGCUCGUAGGCGGAUGUUUAAGUCGGCGAAGAAAGACCUGGGCUCAACUCA
rnacentral:rRNA from 1 species